GGAGGUGGCAAUCUCCCUAAGCACAGAGGCCUGGGGAAAGAGUCCAUCCAACCUCUGACACUGACCUUGCUCACCCCAGGGCCUUCUUCAGACAGAAGUAGAAGAGAGUCUUGUUUCCUCAGACACCCUUACUUCCUGAUCUUUAGGGAUGGACCAUUGGAGGUCUCUUCAAUGCCUUCAUUUUUCUGAGAGAGAAUUUUUGCCCCCUUACCAACUCUAGCAUGGACAACAGACUGUAGGCUAUUCUACCACUUAUGGAGAUCCCUGGAGCUCAGGUUAAAUGUUGGAGAAAAGCACCACGGAGGAACACUUGCGUUUUAGGGAGAUUCUUUCUGGGUCAUCUUACCAUCUUGCUGCGAAUUAUCCUUGGUCCAUGGAGCUGAAGUAAUCUCCUGAGAUCACCCUAAGGAGGCUCCUUUUAUAGAGUGGUCUCUGUUUUCCUUUUGUCACUGUUGUUGUUUUCAGAGAACAAAGGAAGGAAAUUGCAGCUACCUAGUGAAGUGAAUGGAACCAGGGGAACAAUCUAUUCAAUGAUUUUAAUAAACUGAAGGCAAACAACUGAAGUGUGGAGC